rnacentral:rRNA from 1 species
GGCGGACGGGUGAGUGAUGCAUCGGAACGUGCCCAGGAGUGGGGGAUAACGUAGCGAAAGUUACGCUAAUACCGCAUACGUACUGAGGUAGAAAGCGGGGGAUCGAAAGACCUCGCGCUCAUGGAGCGGCCGAUGUCGGAUUAGCUAGUUGGUGAGGUAAAAGCUCACCAAGGCGACGAUCCGUAGCUGGUCUGAGAGGACGACCAGCCACACUGGGACUGAGACACGGCCCAGACUCCUACGGGAGGCAGCAGUGGGGAAUCUUGGACAAUGGGGGAAAGUCUGAUCCAGCAAUGCCGCGUGUGGGAUGAGGGCCCUCGGGUUGUAAACCACUUUUGGCAGGAAAGAAAUCGCCUGUGCUAAUACCAUGGGCGGAUGACGGUACCUGCAGAAUAAGCACCGGCUAACUACGUGCCAGCAGCCGCGGUAAUACGUAGGGUGCGAGCGUUAAUCGGAAUUACUGGGCGUAAAGCGUGCGCAGGCGGUUUUGUAAGACAGAUGUGAAAUCCCCGGGCUUAACCUGGGAACUGCAUUUGUGACUGCAAGACUAGAGUGUGUCAGAGGGAGGUGGAAUUCCGCGUGUAGCAGUGAAAUGCGUAGAGAUGCGGAAGAACACCGAUGGCGAAGGCAGCCUCCUGGGAUAACACUGACGCUCAGGCACGAAAGCGUGGGGAGCAAACAGGAUU